AUUUAAACAAGCAUUCUUUUUCAGUGCUCUCGGUCUUUCUGAGAGACUUCUUUGCAAAUGAAUGUUUAAUACACUGGAAUGAGUGAAAUAAAACGGCUCAGAGGCAUAACUGAUUUCAGGGAGUUAUGCAGGAAACCAUCCUUUAGGGAUAUUUGGGAUCACGAUGUUGGUGUGACUGGUGUGCUACUGAAGUUAGGAUGUAGAUAAGAAGAGGGGUCAAAAAGCCUCCAAGUAAUGUCUUGCACUUCCAGCUCACUCCGGAGCAAAUCAGCAGGGAUCUGAGAAGUGAUUUCAUGUACCGUCUGGAGCAGGACCAGGAAUUACAGAGGAUCCAAGAAGAAAGAGGCUUUACCUCUGAAGAAUUUUGAAAGUGAAAUUCUGUAUGCAAUCCAAUCCAUCACAAUUCUGUUGUUGUCAUCCGUGGUGCCACUGGUUGUGGCAAAACCACUCAAGUGCCCCAGUACAUCCCGGAUCUCUCUUCCCUCAUUCCAGCCACCCUGCAAUCAUUGUUUUCAUGAGGAGCAGUCAGGGCAUGGGACCCCUCAUGUUUCAGCCACAGGGAUCAUCAGCAUCCCGAGCCAAAGUCCAAAACGUGAGUAUUCGCUUUACUCAGCGCGCCGGGACCACUCCUCCUAACGGCGCGCACCCAGGCACAUGGCACAUUACAAUAUAUGGUUAUACUAUGCA